CCCAGCACUGGGCUGGGUCCUCUGAAAGAAAUCCCGUAAAACCUCAAGGAGCUCACAGGCUGGAAUAUUCUUUCACAGGCAAGCAAGGACCCAGGGCUGUGCUCAAGCUGGGCUACAAGGGCUGGACCAGGGUCUGGGGUUGGGCAUAGGUUGGGCUGACUUGCAGUUGCUGGCCUUGGAGAAAGGAGAAGCAAAGCCACUGUGAUUGGAGGAAGGAGAUUCAGGAAGCAAGGACAGCUCUUAGUGUCAGUUCCAAUGGUUGGGUAUGAGAAAGAGGGAGUAAAAACUGGGGCUUCAAGAAGGCAGGGACUAUAGUUGUAUUUCCUCCCAGUGUAUUCACAGUGCAUCUGGUUCACCAAAGACUCUCAAGGUGACUUCAUCCAUGGCGGCUGUGUGGCAGCGAGCUACUUGCGCAUCUCUUCUGUUCCGUGAGGUCAUGUUGGCAGCUUGAAAUUGAUCAAGUGGGAAGCAUUUACAUCACAGAAAUUGAUACCAUGAAAGGAUUUGAGCGUUUUUUUAUGUGAAUCCAAAGAUGACAUUUACAAAAGGUGGAGAAGCAGUUCCCUACUGAGGGACGUGGAUACAAAAAGCAGAUGACACAACACAUCCCAUAGAGUUCCCAGGGAAGAAUGAACCCAGAUUCUUGACCUGCAGAGGUGGCGUACUGGCUGGAGAAAUCUCUGGCUGGCGACCGUGCUAUUCUGUCUGUCCACCUAACUGUGGGCUCCCAGAUCACCACUGCCAUGGGCAGGGGGCCGUGGGGUGGGCCUGCUUGGGGUGACAGGCUAGCUGUGCUCCCAUAGCAGAGGUGGGAGAAGGGAAUCACAUCUGGUGAGCAGCUAUGUCGUGCCAGGCACUGUGCUGUGUAUUGCACACAUCUCAAACCUUGUGACAAAUGUGUAAGAUAUUUUUUAUGUAUUACAAAUGAAGGAACUGGGCUCAGAAAAGCUCCAUUAUUUGCCCAAAUUGCAGCAGUAAUGCAGGAAUUUGAAUCCACAUUAAUCUGACUCCACAACCCAUGUUCUUUCACUGAAUUCCCAUAUCCUUGUUCCCCCUACUGUCCUCACUGGUCAAGGUGAGCUUGGUCUUCCACAAACAGGCUAGAAAAGUAUGCUUACUUAUCUUUAGCUUUAUGCUUUUAAACUAAUUCUUAAAAAUCUUCUCUGGAUAAGUCAAAGACAAUGGGAAUGUGUAUUUCUAAUACAUUAAUUAUAAUACAUUACCGGUUUACACAAUGCCAUCACCUUGUCAUUUUCUUUGACACAACGUCCCCCUCCCCUCUAGUUUAUAAAUGAGGACAUUGAGGCACAAAGUGGGUAAGUGACUUGCCCAAGGGGGAGAUUUGUCCAAUCAUAAAGAUGGGCCUGAACUUUUUCUACUUUGCAUUCUUACUUGAAAGGCAGGAAACAUAUGCUCAAGAGGGAGAUCUCACGAAAUUUCAUGUCAUAUAGUGCUCUCGCUAAUUUAAUCCUGUCAUUCCUGGUUAUAUCCCUUUGGAAAAACCACCACCAGUGCCUUCUCUUUUGAUAUAUUUACAGUAAAAAUAUUCCCUGUACAAACCAUCUCACUCUUUCACAGGGAACUGGCUUGGCCCUCUCCCCUGAAGUGGGUUGCACAUCCACCCAGCCCACCCCCAGCUCACUCUAGCUCCCUUCCUGUUAGAAUUUAUUCAGAACCUCCAUUUCUAGGAGGAAGCAAGGAGGGGGCAGUUAUCUUCGUGGACUUGGGUCCUCCUGGACCCUUUGUCCUCAUGGUUAUGUUUCAAACAGAGUUGAGGGCUCCCUAAAGGGGAAAGAUUAUUUAAGUUUUGUAAAUGCUGCCCUCCAAAAACCACUCCACAUAAAUGUUUCAUGGCUUAGCCUCUGUGAGGCCAGAGCUGGAACAUUCAGCUGUGAGGGUGUUUAUAUUUGUGGAACUCUCUUGAACAUUUGCUGUGGGUUUUAAACAGCUGCUAUGCUGAAGCUCUGGGGAUAGGAAGAUCAUGAAUAUUCAGGUGAAGCCACCAGAAUGAACAGCCGUUAAUAGAAUAAAUGCCUAAACAGUUGUGUAAGGCUUAUUAAGACCUAUUGGGGCUGAGAUAAUAAAUUCCCACUCUGACAUGUUGCAACUACUGUCGCUUAAACACUUUGGACCACCUCUUCUGAACUGAAGGAAAAAAUGAUGUUAGUUCUCUGCGCGAAUACAAAGAAACACCUGGAAGCCUUGGCAAGGGGAUGAGAUUUGGCAGAGAUCUUUCCGUGUACCGAUGCAUCCUCAGGAAAAUGAUGUGCCGCUCAUUGUUCCUGUUGUCAAGGUUAUCGCAGUCGACUUCAGGCUGGAACGGGCAUUGCUCUUGCACUGAAGAAAGUCUGUCCUGACUCCCUCAGAGUGCCUCAACAUCAACCAAGAGCCACCGUGAACCUCUGGGGCACUGAGCCUGGCCACCAGCACCCCCACCCCAGCCCAUAUGGCCUGGGCCUCUCCCUUGAUGUUUAAAGGAGAUGAUAAAAAUGCUGCAACCCAGAUAAUGAUCACCUUACUCUUCAAAAAUACUGCCCAAGUUCUUUGUUCAAGAUGCCAAGAACCUGGAUACCCUCCACUGGUAACAAAUAUGACUUUGUUUUUAGCAAGCAACUUUGCAGUGUAAUUAAGUUAAGGAUCUUGAGAUGAGAUCAUCUUGGAAUAUCUGGGUGGGCCCUAAAUCCAAUGACAAGUGUCCUCAUAGGAAGGGAAGAUACACACAGAGGAGAAGGUGGUGUGAAGAUGGAAGCCAAGACUGUUGAUACCAGUUGGAGAGCACCAAGAACUACCCGCAGCCACUGAAAGCUAGGAGAGAGGCAUAGGACUGUCUCCUUCAGACCCUCCAGAAAGACCAAACCUGCCCGUGCCUUGAUUUCAGACUUUUGGCCUCCCACAUUGUGAGAGAAUAAAAUUUUGUUUUUGAAGCCAU
rnacentral:lncRNA from 1 species